ACACAUUUUGAUGCACAAUGCGUGGCUGGCACAACAUCAAGCCAUGAAAUGGUUUGAUGAAUGUCCGACCUAUUCCCAUCCCACAAAGGAUACAUCCAAACCUGCUGCUACCCAAGUACAAAUGUGAACGAUCAGCUGGAAACAAUAAAACACAUACCGCUCAGAUGGAAUAGGAUUUUCUCCAUAGUAAGAUCGCCUCUUCUCAACUUGAUACGGAUCAGUUGGAGGUCCCGGAUAAUACGGAUCAUUUAGAGGUGCCGGAUAAUAUGGAUCAUUUGGAGGUGCCGGAUAAUACGGAUCAUUUAGAGGCAGAACAGAUGAUGGAACAUAUCGAGCUUCGAUGCCACGUGGUGCACGUGC
rnacentral:lncRNA from 1 species